GGCGGUGUGCUUCACACAUGCAAGUCGAACGAGGUAGCAAUACCUAGUGGCGGACGGGUGAGUAACGCGUGGGAAUCUGCCUUUAGAUGGGGGAUAACGGGUCGAAAGACUCGCUAAUACCGCAUAUGACGAAAGUUGAAAGGAGUAAUCCGUCUAAAGAUGAGCCCGCGUCCGAUUAGCUAGUUGGUAGAGUAAAAGCCUACCAAGGCGACGAUCGGUAGCUGGUCUGAGAGGAUGAUCAGCCACAAUGGGACUGAGACACGGCCCAUACUCCUACGGGAGGCAGCAGUGGGGAAUUUUACGCAAUGGGCGAAAGCCUGACGUAGCGACACCGCGUGAGCGAAGAAGCCCCUUGGGGUGUAAAGCUCUGUCAGCUGGAACGAAAAAAUGACGGUACCAGCAGAGGAAGCAUCGGCUAACUACGUG
rnacentral:rRNA from 1 species